UUUACAUUUUAAUUAAUUUUUUUUUAAAAUCCUUUAAAUUUCACUUAAAUGUUAAAAUCCAUUUAUUCAUCAGAAAGACGACAAGACCCUGUUGAACUUAACUUAAGUUAAACUGGGGCAGUAAAUUAAUUAUUAUUUUAAAAAAAAAAAUAGCCUACAUAUCAAAUAUAUUUUAAUUUAAUAAACAAGUUACCACAGGGAUAACAGCGUAAUAAUUUUAUUAAGAUCUUUUUUCUAAAAAAGAUUACGACCUCGAUGUUGAAUUAAUAACCUAAUUUAAAGCAAAGUUUAAUAAAGGAAGUCUGUUCGACUUUUAAACAAUUACAUGAUUUGAGUUCAGACCGGUGUAAACCAGGUCGGUUUCUAUCUUCUUUAUAUUCUUUUACAGUACGAAAGGGCCUAAAAGAAUUUUAAUAAAUUUGGCAGAUAAAUGCAUUAGAAUUAGAAUCUAAUUAGCUAUUA
rnacentral:rRNA from 1 species